GAUGAACGCUGGCGGCGUGCUUAACACAUGCAAGUCGAACGAUGAAGCCCAGCUUGCUGGGUGGAUUAGUGGCGAACGGGUGAGUAACACGUGAGUAACCUGCCCUUGACUCUGGGAUAAGCCCGGGAAACUGGGUCUAAUACCGGAUAGGAGCGCCUGUCGCAUGACGGGUGUUGGAAAGAUUUUUCGGUCAUGGAUGGACUCGCGGCCUAUCAGCUUGUUGGUGAGGUAAUGGCUCACCAAGGCGACGACGGGUAGCCGGCCUGAGAGGGUGACCGGCCACACUGGGACUGAGACACGGCCCAGACUCCUACGGGAGGCAGCAGUGGGGAAUAUUGCACAAUGGGCGGAAGCCUGAUGCAGCGACGCCGCGUGAGGGAUGACGGCCUUCGGGUUGUAAACCUCUUUCAGUAGGGAUGAAGCGAAAGGGACGUACCUGCAGAAG
rnacentral:rRNA from 1 species